rnacentral:tRNA from 1 species
GCCGAUGUAGCUCAGUGGUAGAGCGUUUCCUUGGUAAGGAAGAGGUCACGAGUUCAACUCUCGUCAUUGGCUCAA